CCUGCUUUUCCUCUAUAUUGCUUUUCCUCUUCAUGGAGUAUUAUACACAUCGCCUCUUCUUGUUUUUUCUUUCUUUCCGGGUGACUUUCCAUGGAAAAUUUCUACUAAGGUGCACAAAUUGAAGCACAGCCCAUUGAAUUGCAAAAAAAGAGUAGUGAAAAGGGAAGAACUUUGAUGCAGCCCAGUAUCAACGUAGGAACCGAAUCUACAAAGGGGAACA